rnacentral:rRNA from 1 species
GACGAACGCUGGCGGCGUGCUUAACACAUGCAAGUCGAACGGAAAGGCCUGUCCUUCCUUGUGUUGGACGGGUACUCGAGUGGCGAACGGGUGAGUAACACGUGAGUGAUCUGCCCCCAACUUGGGUAUAAGCCUGGGAAACUGGGUCUAAUUCCCGAUAGGACUGCAGGGUGGUGCCUGUGGUGGAAAACGAUUUUCUAGUGGUUGGGGAUGAGCUCGCGGCCUAUCAGCUUGUUGGUGGGGUAAUGGCCUACCAAGGCGGCGACGGGUAGCCGGCCUGAGAGGGUGGACGGCCACAUUGGGACUGAGAUACGGCCCAGACUCCUACGGGAGGCAGCAGUGGGGAAUAUUGCACAAUGGGCGGAAGCCUGAUGCAGCGACGCCGCGUGGGGGAUGACGGCCUUCGGGUGGUAAACUCCUUUCGACCGCGAGGAAGCCGCCUGGUUGGAAGGGUGGUGACGGUAGUGGUAGAAGAAGCACUGGCUAACUACGUG